rnacentral:lncRNA from 1 species
UCGAAAAAAUGAAGAAGUAAUCAUAAUCAAAAUGGUGGGGUCCACAACUAUUUAGGAAUGGGGAAUGGGAGAUUGAUUCCCAUGGGAGAGGUGGGAAUCAGUCUCCCAUUCCCGGGACUUCUCGUUUUAGCCCCAAUCAUAUUCAAAUAUUCCUAAACUAUCCUCAUUUAAAUAAAAAAAUAUAAAUACCGAAAAUUAAAAAAAACAAACAAAAUCCCUAGAACCCGUGACCCGUGUUCUCCUCUUCGAAAGCUGGAUGCCAUCGCCUGAUCGUUCCCGCCCGUUCACCGCUGACCGGAAGCUUCCAGUCACCAUUAUCACCGCUGCAGGCACCAGUCAUCGAAGCUUCCGUUCUUCAUCUGCCGACGUGCUCGCUAUCUGCUGCUGUCGUUCGUCACGAUCUACUGCUGUCGCGACCUGCUACUGCAAUUCGUCGCGAUCUGCUGCUGUGGUCGCGAUUGAUCUGUUGUCGCUGUGGUCGCACUUGUCCUGCCGCCGUUUGUCGUCGCGAUCUACUACCUCCGGUGAAGAGGAGCACAAUGUUUGUUUGGGAAUUAUAAUUUUAUAUUUUAAAUUAUUAAUUUCUUAUAUUGUUUGGCCACUGAUUGUAUAUUAAAAUUAUAUAGAUUGGUGUUUUUAUUAUUUCAUUGUUUGCUUGUUAUUAUUAUUAUUAUUAUUAUUAUUGUAGUAGUAGUAGUUGUUGUUGUUGUUG